rnacentral:rRNA from 1 species
UAGGGAAUCUUCGGCAAUGGACGAAAGUCUGACCGAGCAACGCCGCGUGAGUGAUGAAGGUUCUCUGAUCGUAAAACUCUGUUGUUAGAGAAGAACAAGGACGUUAGUAACUGAACGUCCCCUGACGGUAUCUAACCAGAAAGCCACGGCUAACUACGUGCCAGCAGCCGCGGUAAUACGUAGGUGGCAAGCGUUGUCCGGAUUUAUUGGGCGUAAAGCGAGCGCAGGCGGUUUCUUAAGUCUGAUGUGAAAGCCCCCGGCUCAACCGGGGAGGGUCAUUGGAAACUGGGAGACUUGAGUGCAGAAGAGGAGAGUGGAAUUCCAUGUGUAGCGGUGAAAUGCGUAGAUAUAUGGAGGAACACCAGUGGCGAAGGCGGCUCUCUGGUCUGUAACUGACGCUGAGGCUCGAAAGCGUGGGGAGCGAACAGG